rnacentral:rRNA from 1 species
CCCAGACUCCUACGGGAGGCAGCAGUGGGGGAUAUUGCACAAUGGGGGAAACCCUGAUGCAGCGACGCCGCGUGGGCGAAGAAGUACUUCGGUAUGUAAAGCCCUAUCAGCAGGGAAGAAGAAAUGACGGUACCUGAGUAAGAAGCACCGGCUAAAUACGUGCCAGCAGCCGCGGUAAUACGUAUGGUGCAAGCGUUAUCCGGAUUUACUGGGUGUAAAGGGAGCGCAGGCGGCACGGCAAGCCUGAUGUGAAAGCCCGCGGCCCAACCGCGGGACUGCAUUGGGAACUACCGGGCUGGAGUGCCGGAGAGGUAGGCGGAAUUCCUAGUGUAGCGGUGAAAUGCGUAGAUAUUAGGAGGAACACCAGUGGCGAAGGCGGCCUACUGGACGGUGACUGACGCUGAGGCUCGAAAGCGUGGGGAGCAAACAGGAUUAGAUACCCUAGUAGAA